CCUCAUUAACAUGAACAGUGUGUUUGCUGCUCUCAGUUGUGAUAGUGAGUGAAAAUGUCUGUGUUAAAGCUCUUGAAUUUUCAUCACAUUCUGAUGCUGUCUGUAUUCACUGGAGCAGCUAAUGGAUAUUAUUACUACCGGUGGUCACAGUGCAUCUACAGCUCUCCUGAUCUCAGUGACAUGGAGUUCAUUGAAGGUUCUUACUUCAAUAAAUAUCCAUUUGUGAAAUACAACAGCACUGUGGGGAUAUUUGUGGGGUUUACAGAGUUUGGAGUGAAAAAUGCAGAGAUGUGGAACAAAGAUCCAUCGUUGUUACAGCAAUAUAGGGCUCAAGUUGAAGUAUUCUGCAAACCUAAUGCUAAACUUAUGGAAGCAGAUAUCUACAAUAAAACAGUGCAGCCGAAGGUGAAGCUCAGUUUAGUGAUGCCGGGCGACAGCAAACAUCCAGCUCUGCUCAUGUGCAGCGCGUACGACUUCUACCCUCAACCAAUCAAAGUGUCCUGGCUGAAGGACGGUGCGGUGGUGACGUCUGAAGUGACCUCCACUGAGGAGCUGCCUAACGGAGACUGGUACUACCAGAUUCACUCGGAGCUGGAAUACACUCCCAGAUCUGAAGAGAAGAUCUCCUGUAUGGUGGAGCACGCCAGCUUCACCAAACCCAUGAUCUAUGACUGGAACCCGCCGGCCCCUGAGUUUGAGUGGGAUAUUCAGCUGUUAUUCACUAUUGAAUCUGCUGCGCUGCUGCUGGGAAUCAUCAUAGCAGCUGCUGGAUUCAUUUACUACAAGAUCAAAUCAACAGGUCUGUAGAGUUAAUCUUUUUUUUUUGAUAGAGAAGAUCCUGGUACCACAUUAAUUUACAUUUUACUCAGGUGCUUAUACUGACUGAAAGGAGCCUCAUCAUGGAGAAGCACAAGCACACACUCUUCAUGACACAACUAUCACACACAGGCUUCGACUGAUGUUUCACAAUAAAACAUGAGGAUGAAAAUA